rnacentral:rRNA from 1 species
GACGAACGCUGGCGGCGUGCUUAACACAUGCAAGUCGAACGGUGAAAGCGGAGCUUGCUCCGCUGGAUCAGUGGCGAACGGGUGAGUAACACGUGGGCAACCUGCCCCUCACUUCGGGAUAACUCCGGGAAACCGGGGCUAAUACCGGAUAUGACCUCCUUGGGCAUCCUUGGAGGUGGAAAGUUUUUCGGUGAGGGAUGGGCCCGCGGCCUAUCAGCUUGUUGGUGGGGUGAUGGCCUACCAAGGCGACGACGGGUAGCCGGCCUGAGAGGGUGACCGGCCACACUGGGACUGGGAUACGGCCCAGACUCCUACGGGAGGCAGCAGUGGGGAAUAUUGCACAAUGGGCGCAAGCCUGAUGCAGCGACGCCGCGUGAGGGAUGACGGCCUUCGGGUUGUAAACCUCUUUCAGCAUCGACGAAGCGAAAGUGACGGUAGGUGCAGAAGAAGGACCGGCCAACUACGUGCCAGCCGCCGCCGUAA